UACUGAGGGUGCAAGCGUUGUUCGGAAUCACUGGGCGUAAAGGGUGCGUAGGCGGGUCUUUAAGUCAGGGGUGAAAUCCUGGAGCUCAACUCCAGAACUGCCUUUGAUACUGGGAAUCUUGAGUCCGGGAGAGGUGAGUGGAACUGCGAGUGUAGAGGUGAAAUUCGUAGAUAUUCGCAAGAACACCAGUGGCGAAGGCGGCUCACUGGCCCGGUACUGACGCUGAGGCACGAAAGCGUGGGGAGCAAACAGG
rnacentral:rRNA from 1 species